UUUGGUGUGUACAGUUUGGUGUUAUGAGAACAGAAUGCUCCAGAGAGAGGGGAGCAAAAGUCAAACUGUUAUAGCUGGGAACUGAGGAACCAGAGGAAAUGGAGGCAGAGAGGGAAUAGCUUAUUUUAAUGACCAUGCUGCUUCUAGAAAUACGUAAAACAGGAUAAUCUCAAAUCCUUCUGCAAAUAUCCAGAAAUUCGGGACAAAAUACACCAAAGAUUCUUCUGAAUGACUGAGGAGCUUUGAGAAAACGAGAGGACAUUCUCUGGUUGUAGAAACAGAAGGAACUGAAAAUCAGACUGUUUUCAGGACGAUGACCCAUUCACAAAGGAGAGGCAGAUCCUCAGGAGGAAGAAUCCUGCAACACUACAGUAAAUGUAUAUGGUAAUGAGUUUCCCAGUCCUUCCCCAAAGGAACCUCUGGCCAUUUACUUGGCUGACUGGUGUGGGAAAAGGGACGGCCUGGAUCCAGAUCUGGUAACACUGGACGACUACUGACCUCUUUGGGACUCAGUUUCCUCCUCUGUACAGUGAAGGGAAUGAAUGAGAGGACUUCCAAAAUCUGCCUCAGUUCUAAUAGCCCAUGAUUGAAGUGGAUGACCAGAUGUUCCACUUGAAGUUCUGCCUCCCAGGAUCAUUUCCUUCACCACUGCCUUUCAGGACCAUCCCUGAGUGUGAUGUAGUAAGGCAGGAGGUUCAUCAGCCAAGGAUGCACAUGGUAUACGCCUCGCUCACUGCGCCUCCCCGUCACAAGUUUAUCACUGUGUUUCGUGCCUCCAGAUGGAGCACACGCUCACCAGGAACUUUCUGAAGUUCCAAAGAGCCAAAGGAUCCAAAAAGAAAGAUUUUUAAAAAGAAGUAUUUUGCUCUAGUGGAUUGAAAAAUCGCUUUUAUCACAACCAUAAAUGAAGCAUGAUUCAGAAGUAAGGCAGUAUUGCUCCAGUUCUCUCAGGGCAGAAACACAAGCAGAGCUGAAGCAUGGAAGUCUCAUAACCAUCCUGAUCAAGGGGAACGCUUGACGAGAGACCCAUCAGUGUGGCUGCAGGAGGUCUCUGUGUUAUGUCAUCUUCUGCUUUUACACAAGGGUGCUGGAACAGGUGGUCAGGAGCUCAGAAACAUGCUCGUCUGACCUGGGGACCAACAAGACAGAAUUUGUGAUUCUGAACCCCCAAACACAGGCCAGGUUUGUGUGGUUCCCAGGGGCAGAUUCUACCCCAGUCCUGACCGUCUUCCAGAAGCCACAGUCCAGGGCUGUGUGUAUGAGCACCACAGCACACAUUCAGGUGUCCCCUACUUUGAAGAAAUUGUGUUCCUUAACAUUUCCUUCCCUUCUGUUGACUGAUUUCCCUCCUCUAUCACCAGACGUUUUGAAAGACUGGUGCUGCUCGCACUGGCUACGCUGUCUGGCCCCACAUUUUCUCUUCUUCUCAUUGCAAUCUACAUCCUUGCUCUCCUCCCCAAGUAAUCACCAAACUGCUCUUCCCGAGGUCUAUUGUGACUUCCUAAAUGCCAGAUCCUUGUCCUAUUUUCGGCCGUCCACCUGAAGGACAUCCCUGCUGUGUUGGACAUGGGACACUGUCUCCCCCUUGCAGCUUGCUCCUCCAAAGGCCUUGGUCCCUGGCUCCUCUCUCUUGGUCUGUCUGUCAUCCCAUGUCCUCAUCCUCCUGUUCCUCUCCCCAUUUCUUCUUGGUCCCUUCGAUGACCCUCCUCUUUCUGCCCUGUGACUGUUGGCAUCCUAGAGGAUUAACCUUUUCGCAAUUCGUUCUUUUACUCCUUCCACCUGUCCCCAAAUCCAGAGCCGUCUUGUGCGUCCUACUUGGUGCCAGGCACUAAGCUAGUGCAGGAAAUACAGAGAUGAAUGAGAUCCAAUCUUCAACCUCACUGUGCACACUAAAGUCUAGAGGGAGCAACAGUGUGUACUGUGGUGUAAGUUUGGACCAGAAGAGGUGGGGGAAAAAUCAAUUCUGCGUGAUGGGAAGGAACAUGUAGUAUAAUACACUGGAGUAUUUACCAUGUUGCCUAAUCGUUAGAUGUGAAGGUCUGUCAGGCCUAAGCCAGGGCUUUCCAGAAGAAAGUGUGUGUGUGUGUGUGUGUGUGUGUGUGUGUGAUGUUACAUGCAUGUGCACCAGGAAGCCUCGAGCAGUUGAGGAGCUGUUCCACUCUAAGAAGGGGACCUUAUCUUACUCAGGAAGUGCUUCAAAUGUAACUUACUGGAAGAUUAGCUGGGGGAGGCUAGCUUUGCCCCAACUUGCGGAUGAGUCAGUAAUUAUUCGUAUUCCCCCUUUGAACUCUAUACUCCAAAUUAUUUUUGUGUUUCCAAGGGUGAUUUCAAAAAUACUUAGGACACCAACACAGAUCAAUCUGGAUGAGUGACUGAGCAUGAUUCCAGAAGUGCUUUUUUGUGCCAUAAGGGAAAUCUUUUAGAUCAUGGCCGGGGGGGGGGGGGGCAUGUGUGAGUAUGUGUGUGCAUGUGUGUGUAUGUGUGUGUGCAUGCAUGUGUAGGGUGUCUGGAGGGAGAGGCUGAGCAGCUCAGUUAGAAAGGAAGGGGACAGAACAAUUUCACAAUUAUCUGAGGGUACUUCAGUAUGUUAAUAUCCUGUAUGGUCAUACAGAGGCAAUCCUGCCUUCCUCCUGAGACUGAAAAUUCUCUAAGAACAGAUUACACAAUCUUAUUUUAAGGUCAGCUGACUAGCAACCUUAAUUUUCCCUUUGACAUGUAACCCAACAUAUUCACAAGUUCUGGCAAUAGGAUGUAGACGUUAUUAGGGGGUGUGCGUUAUUUUGCCUACUAUAUGCACCUAUGAGACAAACAAAACAAAACAAAACACACAACGCUCCUAACAGUGUGAAUGGCUAGUUAAAAUUUGGGAGACAUUACCUGAAAAAUACUAUAAAGUAAAUAUUAUCUAUUUGGAAAAUUCUCUUAUAUGACUUGAAAGUAAUCUGGUAGAUGCUAACCCUGAUGAUCAAGACAAAAAAGUUUGAAUAAAGUUGUUCUAUGAAGAAGAGGUUAGAAAAAGCAGUAUCUUAAAAAGUAUGUGUAUAAGUAAUGCACUUAAUAUUUUAAACAGACAUUUGACUAUUUUUGCUAUAUCCUUAAGGGUCAUGUGCUUGAGUUGGCCAAAACACUUUAAAGAUAUUUUUCUUAGAAAGCAAGAUCGUCUGAUAUUGUGGUCACCUUAUAUUUCAGCAUACAGGAUAAACAUUUCUUUAUUAAAGAUUUAAUAUAUCCUCAAAAUAAAAAUUUAAAUGGUUAGGAAAGUAGAUGGUAAAAAAUAAAGGUGUGUGUGUCCUGACCGACCCCAGUCCUACCCUCCAGAACUAACUACUGUGAAUAGUUUCUUGAAUAUCUUUCCAGAAAUGCUCUGCCUUUAGGCCUACAUGAUCUAGCUCCUGUUUACUUCUUGUAAUACUCUUCCCUCGCUCUCUAUGCUCCAGCCACUCGGCCUGCUUUUUGUUUUUCCAAAACAUCUGGAUCAUCCCCGAAGCCCCAGGACCUUUGCGCUUUCCAUUUAUCUUCUUGGAAUGUCUUCUCUCAUAUCUCUGCAUGCCCAGCUGUAUCUCAUCUUCCAGAGACCAGCUCAAAAUCCCUUCCUCAGUGGAGCUUUUCCUGUCCUCAUGUACCCUGCUACCACAUAAUACGGUUUCUCUUGGUCAGUUUGGGUGGUCAUAAUAAAAAUACUAUAGACUGAG